UCCUACGGGGGGCAGCAGUGGGGAAUAUUGCACAAUGGGGGAAACCCUGAUGCAGCAACGCCGCGUGAGUGAGGAAGUAUUUCGGUAUGUAAAGCUCUAUCAGCAGGGGAUAGAAAAGAAGGUACCUGAAAAAGAAGCCCCGGCUAACUACGUGCCAGCAGCCGCGGUAAUACGUAGGGGGCAAGCGUUAUCCGGAUUUACUGGGUGUAAAGGGAGCGUAGACGGAAAGGCAAGUCAGAAGUGAAAGCCCGGGGCUCAACUCCGGGACUGCUUUUGAAACUGUUGAACUAGAUUGCAGGAGAGGG
rnacentral:rRNA from 1 species